rnacentral:tRNA from 1 species
GCUGGCGUAGCUCAGUUGGUAGAGCACUCGAUUCGUAAUCGAGCGGUCGGGAGUUCGAGUCUCCCCGCCAGCACCA